CGAAAGGUGGAAGUGCGGGACGAGAACCUGAAUAUCAUGGCAGAUGUUCAAACAGGAUCAAGAGCUUUGCCUACUUUCAUCAACUAUACUCAUGAUGGUAUAGAGGACACCCAAGUUCUGGCAAAUCUACUUUGCUCACGACUCUUGCAGGAAAACUGGACUCCAGCUUAAAGCGGGCAGCAAAGACUCGGAAAAGAUACACCCAAGAACAACUUGACCAGGUGAACAUUGAAGUGGCUGACUAUUUGCAGACUCUGCUAUAGAUGGAGA